AUUGAACGCUGGCGGCAUGCCUUACACAUGCAAGUCGAACGGCAGCACGGGAGCAAUCCUGGUGGCGAGUGGCGAACGGGUGAGUAAUAUAUCGGAACGUGCCCGGUCGUGGGGGAUAACGUAGCGAAAGCUACGCUAAUACCGCAUACGAUCUAAGGAUGAAAGCGGGGGAUCGCAAGACCUCGCGCGAUUGGAGCGGCCGAUAUCAGAUUAGGUAGUUGGUGAGGUAAAGGCUCACCAAGCCAACGAUCUGUAGCUGGUCUGAGAGGACGACCAGCCACACUGGAACUGAGACACGGUCCAGACUCCUACGGGAGGCAGCAGUGGGGAAUUUUGGACAAUGGGCGCAAGCCUGAUCCAGCAAUGCCGCGUGCAGGAUGAAGGCCUUCGGGUUGUAAACUGCUUUUGUACGGAACGAAACGGUGAGCUCUAAUACAGUUUGCUAAUGACGGUACCGUAAGAAUAAGCACCGGCUAACUACGUG
rnacentral:rRNA from 1 species